AUUGAACGCUGGCGGCAUGCCUUACACAUGCAAGUCGAACGGUAACAGGUCUUCGGAUGCUGACGAGUGGCGAACGGGUGAGUAAUAUAUCGGAACGUGCCCAGUCGUGGGGGAUAACGCAGCGAAAGCUGUGCUAAUACCGCAUACGAUCUAUGGAUGAAAGCGGGGGAUCGCAAGACCUCGCGCGAUUGGAGCGGCCGAUAUCAGAUUAGGUAGUUGGUGGGGUAAAGGCCCACCAAGCCAACGAUCUGUAGCUGGUCUGAGAGGACGACCAGCCACACUGGAACUGAGACACGGUCCAGACUCCUACGGGAGGCAGCAGUGGGGAAUUUUGGACAAUGGGCGCAAGCCUGAUCCAGCAAUGCCGCGUGCAGGAUGAAGGCCUUCGGGUUGUAAACUGCUUUGUACGGUAACGAAAGGACCUGUAGUACUACGGUGGUCCUAGACGUACGAGAAGUAACGACGUACUACGUACGUC
rnacentral:rRNA from 1 species